rnacentral:rRNA from 1 species
CUGACGAGUGGCGAACGGGUGAGUAAUACAUCGGAACGUGCCCGAUCGUGGGGGAUAACGAAGCGAAAGCUUUGCUAAUACCGCAUACGAUCUACGGAUGAAAGCAGGGGACCGCAAGGCCUUGCGCGAACGGAGCGGCCGAUGGCAGAUUAGGUAGUUGGUGGGAUAAAAGCUUACCAAGCCGACGAUCUGUAGCUGGUCUGAGAGGACGACCAGCCACACUGGGACUGAGACACG